AUUGAACGCUGGCGGCAUGCUUUACACAUGCAAGUCGAACGGUAACAGGCCGCAAGGUGCUGACGAGUGGCGAACGGGUGAGUAAUGCAUCGGAACGUGCCCAGUCGUGGGGGAUAACGCAGCGAAAGCUGCGCUAAUACCGCAUACGAUCUAUGGAUGAAAGCGGGGGACCGUAAGGCCUCGCGCGAUUGGAGCGGCCGAUGUCAGAUUAGGUAGUUGGUGAGGUAAAGGCUCACCAAGCCGACGAUCUGUAGCUGGUCUGAGAGGACGACCAGCCACACUGGGACUGAGACCAGGCCAAGACUCCUACGGGAGGCAGCAGUGGGGAAUUUUGGACAAUGAGGGCAACACGGAGCCAGCAAUGCCGCGGGCAGGAAGUAGGCCUUCGGGUCGGUAACUGCUUUUGGAAGGAACGAAACGGCUGUAGUUAAUACCGGGGGCUAAUGACGGUACCGUAAGAAUAAGCACCGGCUAAGUACGUUCCAGCCGCCGCGGUAAUAC
rnacentral:rRNA from 1 species